UAUAUAAACCUAAACACUAGAGGGCUCACUUGAGAUAAAUUCAUGUUCCUUUUGAUUUACGGCGGCCAUUUUACAUCAGGGCAACGGAGCACGCUAGCGCGCUAGCUACACACACAGUAGUGCAGUGGAAAUUAGAACUGCUGCAGUCAGCUGAUCGACGCGAAGGCGACAAGAAGAAGGCGACAAUAAAAAUGCCAAGCUCUUGUGCCUGCUAUUGUUGCUCCAAUCGUUGGAAGAGUGGAACGUCUAUUUGUUUCCACCGGUACAUGUAUUCAUCCAAGGGAUGACAGAGAAAAAUACAGGCAUACACUGACGGCACAGGCAGUCCCUUCUUUGUUUCUUUGUCAUCCACCCCUCAAGCAGCCUGUCAUCCAAAAGAGGAAGCCUCCCAUCAAAAGAAGUCUGCCAACAGAGGAUACAGUACCAUCUGGCCUUCACCCAAAAGGAUUUACAAUGAACAUUCAUUAAUUUGAAUGAGGAGUUGAUGAAAGAAAAGCUGCAAGACACUCGGAAAAGGCUUGCUGAAACAAUGAAGGAACUCAAGUUUGCGAAAAGAAAAAUCAAGACGAGAGAGAAGACCAUCUCAUCUCUCCUUAGCAGCAUUUUUAUGAUCAAUAAUAUUUAGAAGAUGAAAAUGACCAUUGUGAACAGCUCAUUAGGCAUUUCAUUUUGCUGUACAUUAAGAUUGUUUCCCAACAUCACGGCAGGCUGUUCACUCGUCGUUCAGCCAUUAAAAAGGCCUCGUAGAAACCUAUUGUGCACCAGCUCCAAUCCCAUGAAAGAAUGUAAAGCUAUUCUACACAGCGUUCAACAAAAAGUGAUCGAAUCUGUUUAAUAGGCAUAAGGUGUUUAAAGACCUAAAAGCAACAUUUUAUAUCAAUAAUAUUCAGAAGAUGAAGGUGAUCAUUGUGUACAACAGCUCUUAAGGCAUUUCAGUUCGCUGUACAUUAAGACUGUUUCCCAUCAUUACAACAGGCUGUUCACUCGUCAUUAUGUUAAUUUGUCUUCUUGAUGGCUGAUUGUUAUUAACGAAGGCAAUUUUGCUUCUAGGUCAGUAAUUUUGACAAACCUGACUAUAACAAGGACAUUGGAACUCGGACAAUUUGUUAUUAAUGUCACUAAUCUCCCAGGAUUCAGAAGUCAGGAUUAAAAGAAAAAGAACAUGAAGGCUUGUGAUCAGCAAAAUUACAUUGUUAUAACAGGGCUGUAUGGUUAUAUCUGGGCCCCGUUGCAUAAAAGUUACUAUCAUGGAAACUUUGCCACCCAAUGGUAACUUUCAAGGGAUCCUUGAUUUUGAUUGGCUGAUGAGCAUUGUUACCAUGGUAGUUACCAUUGGAUGGUUAAGUUACCAUAAUGGUAACUUUUAUGCAACAGGGCCCAGAUCACUUAAUAUUGAGUUUCAACAAUAUACAUGAUUUUAACUUUGAAAUACAUUUACUGUCAUUUUCCUUACCAGAAUUUUUCCAAAAAAUGAAAAUUGUUUUUUUGGGGUCCUCCAUUUAUCCUUCUGUCUAUUUGACAGAUCAGUUUUAAACUUUGUUCAUGUAUGCACAAAGGGGUGAGGAGGAUAGAUAUAUUAUCUACUUGCUUUAUUGUUCCAGGAUUAAGUCAUGAAUCCAGUUACAAGAUAUUACUUUAGAACAAUUGCCGUAGGGGCUUUUGUUUUGUACAUGUAGUCAUGUACUACCAUUUUUAUACAUGUACAUCCCCUUAAAAUAAUGAUAAAAAUGAAUGAAUAAAUGAAUGAAUAAUUGAUUGAAAAUCUGAAUUAAAAAACUGUAAUUCAAAAGCAUUCGUAUAAACAGUAUAAACAAUAUGGGAGCAAAGCAUAUAUCACUUGUAUGAUAUUCUUUUGGAUGUAUACAAUGCAUUUUCUCAAUGAUAAGAUUGCCAUUUUGAGUAUGUGUGUACAGUAAAAUGGGGGCAAAUUGGACACGGAGACAUAACCUAUGACUAUGACAUUUACAUAUUUUUGCUGAGCUGUUGGCUUUUUUGGAAAAUAUAUGUUUAUGAUAUGAAAGGAGUGGCGUAGAGGCAUCACUUUAUAACAUACAAAAAUAUUUUCAAUGAAACCAACUGAAAAAAAAAUGAUUUUGAAACUGUGUAGACUCACCCAUGUUAACAAUAUGCCAACUUUUUGAAAUUAAAUAAAGACUCUGUCAGAAAGGUCACCAAAAGCCAAGGGACAUGUAUGCCAUCUUGGGCUUUCUGUUAUGGUGUACUUGCAUAUUCCGGUAUACAGUACAUGCACAUUUCUAUAUUAAUGAAAUAUAAUCUAUAUAUAAGAUGAUAUAUGAUAUAAAUAUAAUAUGUAUAAUAAUAAUAAUAUAUAUAAUAGAAAUAUAAUAUAUAUAAUUGAACAGUUAACAUUCUGCUGCUUUUUAUAGAAGAUAACUUUUUAUUACAGAAUAAUUUUUGUACUGAAAUACAUGCAUUGUUAUGAGGUUUUAUAUAACAACAAAGCCCCCCC